UACGUAGGGGGCGAGCGUUGUCCGGAUUCAUUGGGCGUAAAGAGCUCGUAGGCGGCUUGGCAAGUCGGAUGUGAAAACUCCAGGCUCAACCUGGAGCCGCCAUUCGAUACUGCUAUGGCUAGAGUCCGGUAGGGGAGUGUGGAAUUCCCGGUGUAGCGGUGAAAUGCGCAGAUAUCAGGAAGAACACCCGUGGCUAAGGCGGCUCUCUAGUACGGUACUGACGCUGAGACGCGAAAGCGUGGGGAGCGAACAGG
rnacentral:rRNA from 1 species